rnacentral:tRNA from 1 species
GCCUGGGUGGCUCAGUCGGUUGAGCGACUGACUUCGGCUCAGGUCAUGAUCUCACGGUUUGUGAGUUCGAGCCCCGCGUUGGGCU